AUCAAGUUGACGAGUCCCAAAUAGAACGAAACGUGCAUCCUGGAU
rnacentral:hammerhead_ribozyme from 1 species